rnacentral:rRNA from 1 species
UGCAAGUCGUGCGAGAAAGUACCUUCGGGUGCGAGUAGAGCGGCGGACGGGUGAGUAACGCGUAGGAAUCUACCUAGUAGAAGGGGAUAGCCCGGGGAAACUCGGAUUAAUACCGUAUACCUCCUCAGGGAGAAAGAGGGCUUAGCUUUGAUGCUCUCGCUAUUAGAUGAGCCUGCGUAAGAUUAGCUUGUUGGUGAGGUAAUGGCUCACCAAGGCGACGAUCUUUAGCUGGUCUGAGAGGACGAUCAGCCACAUUGGGACUGAGACACGGCCCAGACUCCUACGGGAGGCAGCAGUGGGGAAUAUUGGACAAUGGGCGCAAGCCUGAUCCAGCCAUACCGCGUGUGUGAAGAAGGCUUUCGGGUUGUAAAGCACUUUAAGUAAGGAGAAAAAGAUUGUAGUUAAUACCUGCAAUCCGUGAUGUUACUUACAGAAUAAGGACCGGCUAAUUCCGUGCCAGCAGCCGCGGUAAUACGGAAGGUCCAAGCGUUAAUCGGAAUUACUGGGCGUAAAGCGCGCGUAGGUGGUUUUUUAAGUUGGAUGUGAAAGCCCUGGGCUCAACCUAGGAACUGCAUCCAAAACUAGAUGACUAGAGUACGAAAGAGGGAGGUAGAAUUCACAGUGUAGCGGUGGAAUGCGUAGAUAUUGUGAAGAAUACCAAUGGCGAAGGCAGCCUCCUGGUUCUGUACUGACACUAAGGUGCGAAAGCGUGGGUAGCGAACAGGAUUAGAUACCCUGGUAGUCCACGCCGUAAACGAUGACAACUAGCUGUUGGGAGACAAGAUCUCUCAGCGGCGCAGCUAACGCUUUAAGUUGUCCGCCUGGGGAGUACGGCCGCAAGGUUAAAACUCAAAUGAAUUGACGGGGACCCGCACAAGCGGUGGAGCAUGUGGUUUAAUUCGAUGCAACGCGAAAAACCUUACCUACUCUUGACAUACUUGGGAAG